rnacentral:rRNA from 1 species
AACGGCCGUACCAUGCUGAAUUUACCGGUUCUCGUUAGAUCACCGAAGUUAAGCAUCAUUGGGCGCGGUCAGUACUUGGGUGGGUGACCACCUGGGAACACUGCGUGCCGUU